rnacentral:lncRNA from 1 species
AUGUUGGUAAUCAUAACAGAGAUUUGCAUGAUAAAAAGCUCUCCAUCUUUGAGAACAAUCUAUGGCAUGUAUAUUCUCUGUCGCUGUCGCAAAUCAGAAGGGAGUGGUGGGGAGCCCGUCGUCGGUAUGGUGGUGUUGCACGAAAUGGUGGUGGAAGGCUAUCCAAUCAGUUUUCUCUUGAUUUUCUUAAUUGCAUAUAUGAAAACCCUCCCCCAGAUGUUGUUCAUAUGA